rnacentral:rRNA from 1 species
CACCAGGUUGAUUCUGCCUGACGUAGAUGCUAGUCUCUAAGAUUAAGCCAUGCAUGUUUAUGUAAUAAGGACGAACAGCUCGGUAGAACUACGAUGAUUUAGUCUGUCUGAACAGGAUAACUACGUGAAAAUGUAGCUAAGAGGGGACAGAAUAAGACGUAGGACUAUCAGUUAGUUGGCAGUGUAAUGGACUACCAAGACGAUGACGGGUAACGGGGAAUCAGGGUUUGAUACCGGAGAGGGAGCCUGAGAGACAGCUCCCACGUCCAUGGACGGCAGCAGGCGCGAAAAUUGCCCACUCUUUGUAGGAGGCAGUUAUGAGACGUGAAGAUGAUUAUUCAGCAAAGAUGAAUAGGAGAAUUGGAGGGCAAGUUUGGUGCCAGCCGCCGCGGUAAUACCGACCCCAAGAGUGUGUAUGAGAGAUGCUGCAGUUAAAAAGUCCGUAGUCAUAGAAGCGAAAAUGGGGAUGCGAAGUCUCAGUAUUUAGUGAUGGAAAAGCCGAUGGGGAACAUAGUGUACCAGGGCGAGAGAUGAAAUGCCAAGACCCCUGGUGGACUGAGCGAGGCGAAACGGAUGUUCUUGUAGGCAUUUGGUGAUCAAGGACGAAGGCUGGAGUAUCGAAAGUGAUUAGAUACCGCAGUAGUUCCAGCAGUAAAAGAUGCCGACAUGUUCAUUGGAGACAGUGGACAGGGAGAAAUCUUAGAGUUCGGGCUCUGGGGAUAGUAUGCUCGCAAGAGUGAAAAUUAAAGAAAUUGACGGAGCUACACCACAAGGAGUGGAUUGUGCGGCUUAAUUUGACUCAACGCGAGGAAACUUACCAGGGCCAAGUGUUGUGCAGAAACGAGCAACACAGAAGUGGUGCAUGGUCGUUGGAAAUUGAUGGGAUGACUUUGAGCUUAAAUGCUUGAAUGAGUGAGAUCUUUAGACAUGUUCCUGCAGAACAGGAAGGAAGAGGCUAUAACAGAUCAGAGAUGCCCUUAGAUGCCCUGGGCUGCACGCGCAAUACAAUAGCACAGAAGCGAAUAGACUGGAAUGUGUUUUGAUGGAUUAUGUGCUGUAAGGCAGAUAUGAAAGAGGAAUUCCUAGUAAGUAUGUAUCAACAAUGGGUAUUGAAUAAGCCCCUGUAGCUUGUACACACCGCCCGUCACUAUCUCAGAUGUUUUUCAGGAUGAAGAGUUUAGGCUCUGAAUAAUGAAAAGUAGAUAAGAUGUAAGUCGUAACAAGGUAACC